GGGCCCAAAAUUGUAGGACACUUGACCUAGGGUUUACUUUUAUUUUUAGGGUGGACCCCACCCCAAUUUUACACAUGGCCUUAGGGAUUAGAACCCUACCAGCCCUCAUUUUCAAGGGGAGCCAUCAUUUAUUUUGGGACUCUCGACUGGAAUGGAGAGCUCAGAAGUCUAGCAGCCUCGCCUUUUCUUUUUGUUUUUUUUAGAGCUUUCUUGAAUGUUGAAUGUAGGGCAGCAGCUGCCACAACAUUUUCUUUUUCAGCCUUUGUUUAAGGUUGCUUGGUAGGAAUGAAAAUGUGUUGGACGGUCACAACAACCAUGUCCUAGUUCAUUCGUUUGCUUUCAAGAAAUUGAUGGAACUGUGAUUUGGUAGCCAGCCCAUCGCACGCUGUUUUCAAUUGUUAGGAAGACUUUUAUUUUACUUUGAAUUCGGAGAUGAAUGAAUGAGGUCUUAAAUUGCUUGUGCUGUUACAGAAAUGGAUGUUGCCCCUUUUCGUUUUUGGUUUUAUUCAUUUU
rnacentral:lncRNA from 1 species